UACGUAGGGUGCAAGCGUUGUCCGGAAUUAUUGGGCGUAAAGAGCUCGUAGGCGGUUUGUCGCGUCUGCUGUGAAAACUCGGGGCUUAACCCCGGGCCUGCAGUGGGUACGGGCAGACUAGAGUGCGGUAGGGGAGACUGGAAUUCCUGGUGUAGCGGUGAAAUGCGUAGAUAUCGGAAGGAACGCCGGUGGCGAAAGCGACGUGCUGGACCUCUUCUGACGCUGAGGCGCGAAAGCCAGGGGAGCGAACGGG
rnacentral:rRNA from 1 species